UUCGAUUAGACAAGGAAAAAGUGAAGCUAGCCAUAAGUCAUUCCUUUAACACUUGUAGCCCCAAGAAAACACCGCAACUCUUCCCAUAUCACUAAUGAGCGUUACAACAAGAUUUAAAAUAAAUUUUCGCAAAAAAAGAUAUCGUUAUGAUAUAUAGUUACUGUUCCAAUGCAACAAGAGACAAGUAUUCUUUACCAAAGUAUCUCUGAUGUCCCCUUCAACAUUACUGCUUCUUCUCCUUCUCAUUUUGCCGGCGAUAAUCGCCGUAGCAACAUUCCGGCCACACACUACCGGCGAGAAAUCUGAUCAGGGUUGUCAAGUAUUUAUUGUUCCUCCUUCAGCUCCAUCAACAAGACAUAAUAACUUGCCACAGAGAUCUCAACUUUCCUAUGGAAACCUGCCCUGACAUUAUCACCGACUAGGUCGCCGGAGUUAAUUAGAGAUGAAGCAGUGAUGUGUAUUCCUUGUAGUGAUCUUUUUCUUUUUGAAGGCUUCCUUGUAGUGAUCUCUCUCCGAAUAUAUACAUGUUCGGGGAGAAAAUGAAGUCAUGAACAUCGUUUGCCACUUUAUUUUUUUUAAGAGUUUUUUUUUUGUGCCACACACACCGU
rnacentral:lncRNA from 1 species